GGAUUGCAGGCUGCAACUCGCCUGUAUGAAGUCGGAAUUGCUAGUAAUCGCGGAUCAGCAUGCCGCGGUGAAUACGUUCCCGGGCCUUGUACACACCGCCCGUCACACCAUGAGAGCCGGGAACACCCGAAGUCCGUAGUCUAACCGCAAGGAGGACGCGGCCGAAGGUGGGUUUGGUAAUUGGGGUGAAGUCGUAACAAGGUACC
rnacentral:rRNA from 1 species